rnacentral:sRNA from 1 species
CUGCUCUGUCAUAUUCCUCCGAUCCGAUCGCCAUCUCAGCAGAUUCCAAAGUUGCAUUCCUACGCGUUGCUACUACUACAACUACGACAAUAAUGGCUGUGAUUAUGACUGGCCGCGUCUAGAGUCGAUCGAGUGCCUCCGCCCCUGAAGAGUCACGUUGCCCUUGUAUGAUGAGCCGAGUGCACGCCACCCGCCUCGGUAUACAUAUCAACCUGCGCUCUCCGCUGCUUGGUACCUGCAUAUAGAUCCAGUUAUAUAAUCUUGUUGUUGCCCUCUUAUAACAUCCCUACCAGACCUCAGCUCUCCCUUUUGCCUCUCCUCCCUUCCACUCCCUUAUGCCUACCUCUACAUAUCGCCUACCGACAUACAUACAACUUUGGAACCGUCUACUGCUGGUGAUCGGAUAUCGCCCUUGACACCAAUAAUACUCUUACCCUCUCCUCCCUUUUUUUUUUCUUGCGGCGCAAUUUACAUCGUCCACCAAACUGCCUUCCUUUUUCUCGUUUAUUUCCUGCCUGGAAUCCCGAUUCACCUAAACCUAAUUGCGGCUUAUCCCUUAGCCCAUCCCUUACAUCAAAUUUAGGAAGUACCUCUGCUUUCACCCUGGGUUCUGCCAUAGUAUAGAGAGGGCUCCCCGUCUCCUCUCGAACAAUUACCAAGACGGGACUAUCCUACUGCAUAUCUUACACGGCCUUUAUCUAAACGGUUUAUUUCCCCCUCUUCCGCACAACAGACAAUAAACGCACUGGCGUUUUGACCGAAUCGCCCGUUCCAUCGUCCAGGCACAUUGUUGAACGAUAUUUAAAAAGCUUUGCACUCCCUCUCCACUACCC